GACGAACGCUGGCGGCGUGCUUAACACAUGCAAGUCGAACGGAAAGGCCCUGCUUUUGUGGGGUGCUCGAGUGGCGAACGGGUGAGUAACACGUGAGUAACCUGCCCUUGACUUUGGGAUAACUUCAGGAAACUGGGGCUAAUACCGGAUAGGAGCUCCUGCUGCAUGGUGGGGGUUGGAAAGUUUCGGCGGUUGGGGAUGGACUCGCGGCUUAUCAGCUUGUUGGUGGGGUAGUGGCUUACCAAGGCUUUGACGGGUAGCCGGCCUGAGAGGGUGACCGGCCAAAUUGGGACUGAGAUACGGCCCAGACUCCUACGGGAGGCAGCAGUGGGGAAUAUUGCAAAAUGGGCGGAAGCCUGAUGCAGCAACGCCGCGUGCGGGAUGACGGCCUUCGGGUUGUAAACCGCUUUCGCCUGUGACGAAGCGUGAGUGACGGUAAUUGGUAAAGAAGCAACGGCUAACUACGUG
rnacentral:rRNA from 1 species